rnacentral:lncRNA from 1 species
GAAUCCCCGCAGGCGCUGGGUCUGCAGAUGGCGUCCAGGUACACAGUGGCGAGUGUGAUUCCGCAGUCUUGGGCUGUUUGGCCAAGCGCCCGCCGGACAUGGUACGCCGAAGGGUCAUCGGCGUGGAGUCCUCGCUUUCAGCGUCCGCGGCUGGGAAAUCGGCCAUCGCUACGGCGGGAACUGGGACUCGGGCUGCGUCCCGGCCCUUCCACAUCGGUCCACCGCACUCGUGGGCGCCCGCAUUGGUGCUGACAUAAUUUCCUGACCUCUGACCCGUAUUGUCUCGCGAUUAAAGAGCUGCGCCUGGAUCCCUCAGCAGUGAGGAGACCUGAAGACCAGAGGAAACACAGCAAGUCCAGGCACUCCCACUCCUCCUGAGAGAAAUCUACAGCCACAUCCCUGAACAUCAUCAACUGUUGGAAAGAAUAAUUCCAAGGGCUCACCAGAGAAGACAGGGCAAGGUGAGGGGGAUCUCCUAGCAGAGGAAACAACAUGCGCCAAUCAAGCAAAGAUAUUUUUGUGCAUUCAAGGAACACAGAGAGGAAAGACAGUGGCAGAUGGAGACGUAUAAAGCAGGGAUCCUGUUAUGAAAAGCCCUAAAAAAUAGGGUAUAGAGUUUGGGCCAUAUUUCAGAGGUAAUAAGAAAGCAUUCUGCAUUUUUAAAGUAAGGUUUAAAAAUGUUUCUAAUUAGAGAUACAGCAAAGUUGGUGUGAGAGGAUAAAGACUGAUAUACAUAAUCUGAGGAGUUCAUGAAAAUUCCAUGUAAAGCCUGUAGUAUGAAUUGGUCCUAGGAGACAGACAGCUUCAGGGGCAUAGAGAACUUUAAGCACUUUUCCAAGAAGAGUGAAGGGCUGGAGAAUAAAUUGUGAACUAAAAUAUA